GCUGGAGAGUUGGCUCAAUGGUUGAGAACACUGACUUCUCUUCCAGAGGUCCUGAGUUCAAAUCCCAGCAAGCA
rnacentral:tRNA from 1 species